AUUGAACGCUGGCGGCAGGCCUAACACAUGCAAGUCGAGCGAGCGGCGGACGGGUGAGUAAUGUAUGGGGACUGCCCGAUAGAGGGGGAUAACUACUGGAACCGGUGGCUACUACCGCAUACUAUCGGAUAACCCAUAUGGGAUGAGCUAGUAGGUGGGGUAACGGCUCACCUGGGCGACGAGCUCUAGCUGGUCUGAGAGGCUGAUCAGCCACACUGGAACUGAGACACGGCCCAGACGCCGACGGAGGCAGCAGUGGGGAAUAUGGCACAAUGGGGGCAAGCCUGAUGCAGCCAUGACGCGUGUAUGAAGAAGGCCUUAGGGUUGUAAAGUACUUUCAGCGGGGAGGCGUUACCCGCAGAAGAAGCACCGGCUAACUCCGUGCGAGCAGCCGCGGUAAUAC
rnacentral:rRNA from 1 species